CUAGUAUAGGACUAAUUGUUAACUAUUCGACAAUGAAUUUUUUAAUGAUAUCGUUGAUCAAUCUUAUUCCUUUGGGACUGGUAAAUCAAGGAAAGAAAUUUCUAGCUGUUUCUACUAACGUCUGGAAUGCAUAAUUGCACUGCCUUCGUUCUUUCUGGUGCCAGUGUGCAUAACAGCGCUCAUUAAAAUUCCACAUAAAAGCAGCGUGUUCAAAAAUCUCGCUCAAUUUUACUGCAAAUCUCUGGCAAGUUAGCUAGAAAUCCUGCAUAUCAAGGCUAACCCUUUCCUCAAAUGGCUGGUGGCAAUAAGAAUACGAAGCGAACUCUUCAUGGAAUAAGAUCGAGGUCGUCUCGUGCGGGACUACAGUUCCCUGUGGGAAGAAUACAUCGCUUUUUGAGGAAAGGUGAGAAUACGAA